rnacentral:rRNA from 1 species
GACGAACGCUGGCGGCGUGCCUAAUACAUGCAAGUAGAACGCUGAAGGAGGAGCUUGCUUCUCUGGAUGAGUUGCGAACGGGUGAGUAACGCGUAGGUAACCUGCCUGGUAGCGGGGGAUAACUAUUGGAAACGAUAGCUAAUACCGCAUAAUAGUAGAUGUUGCAUGACAUUUGCUUAAAAUUUGCAAUUGCAUCACUACCAGAUGGACCUGCGUUGUAUUAGCUAGUUGGGGGGGUAACGGCUCACCAAGGCGACGAUACAUAGCCGACCUGAGAGGGUGAUCGGCCACACUGGGAAUGAGACACGGCCCAGACUCCUACGGGAGGCAGCAGUAGGGAAUCUUCGGCAAUAGACGGAAGGCUGACCGAGCAACGCCGCGUGAGGGAAGAAGGUUUUCGGAGUGUAAAGCUCUGUUGUAAGAGAAGAACGAGUGUGAGAGUGGAAAGUUCACACUGUGACGGUAUCUUACCAGAAAGGGACGGCUAACUACGUG